rnacentral:lncRNA from 1 species
UUGGAUUUGGUUCUCUCGCGAAAAUCAUGAGUUGCAGAGAUGAGAACCAUGAAAAGCAAGAUCCCGAAUAAGAAAACAGAAACCGAGGAAACCACAAGAGUGAAGACUAGUAGAGUCUCAUCUUAUGUCAUUCUUUGCUAAAGAGAAAUGAUCACUAUGGGUCAGACUCAAUAGAAUUAGAUCCAUUCCAAAUAGCGAGAAUUAGGAUUCUUGAUCCCUCUCAAUCUCUCUUUCAAUUCGAGGAUCCAGAGAGGUGUUUUCAUAGUCAUCUCCGAAUAUUUGCCAUCUCCGAAUAUUUUCGAUUUCAUUUUUCUAUGAUAUGUCUUUCUAUAUGAAAAUUGGUUAGUUACGAUGUACGAUGAUCCCUGUUAAGCAUCCAUGGCUGAAUGGUUAAAGCGCCCAACUCAUAAUUGGUAAAUUUGUGGGUUCAAUUCCUGCUGGAUGCACGCGAACGGGAACGUUCCAUAAGUCUAUUGGAACUGGCUCUCUAUCUAUGGAAUUGUAACAUCCCUGUAAUUAGAAUUUAGACAUUAGGUAUUAGUGUGUGGUAUGUAUAUUAGGAUUUGUACAAAGCACUAGGGGUGUAUUUGUAAAGUAUGAAUUUUAUAAGUUCUUGUGUGCAAUUGUGUGAAAAUAUUCUUAAAUGUCAAAUUCAAUUGACUAUAGCAAAGAAAAGUACAAAUAUGAAGUUAAAAAUCUAAGAGAAAUAGACUUUGAACUAAGGAUUUAUGUGAAAUUAAAACAAAUAUAAGGGUUACCUAUGAAAUGGUUGGAAUAUAAAAGUCAAAUUCAAAUUUACUUAAGGGUUAAUGUGUAAAAAUACAAGUAAUCAUGACAGGUCAGAAAAGUUUGUAAACAUGCCCAAAGUUUGAUCAAAAUUAGGUGGGCAAAGACAAAUUAAUUUAAAUUUCAUCUUAUUUCAAAAUGUAAUCCAAAUAGCUGUAAAAUUUGAGUUUCUAAACCCAAGCCCUAAAGCAAAGUUGUAGAGUUUGAAAAACUCUACAACUUUCAUGUUGAACACUUUUUCAUUUGACCUUUGUAGCAGUGGGAAAAUUUUAGUUUAUAGACGGGUCCCUGAAUUCUUUAGAAAUCACAAACAGGUCCCCCUGACAUCCCCUGCUUCGUCUUCCUCUGGCACGCCGCUUCCCCCUCUGCUUCACCUCUGUCUCCGCCGCUCACCGCCGGCGCCGCGCCCUAGGCUCCACCUCCAGCCUCCGCAAGUAUCCACGCGUCGCUCUCUACCUCUCCCACCUCGGCUCCUCUCUCCCCCUGGCAUCUCCUGCGCUCGCCACGCGCGCGCCGUCGCCGCUCGGCCGCCACCGAGCCGCCGCCGUGGCAAGCCUCCUGUCGAGCAACCAGCCCUGUGUUAGCGCGCGCUUGAGCCCUACAACAACCCCACCGAGCUGCUGGUCGCAUUCUUUUUGUGGCAGAACCAAUCUGAAUUAUACCGGCUCAAGUACGCGAGUCCAAUCCCGAGGGCUCCAACGUGCUUCAAACGGUAUAAUCCCUUGGCCUGUCGGGUAACGUCCCGAUAAACCACCGAUACACAGGAUCAAUAAGGUUACCUCACACGAAGGUGGGUCCAGAGAUACAAUCACCAUCACAAGUUACAUAAUAGGGAAUUACAUUACAAGAGUUUAUAAAAGUAGUACAAAGUUUCAAACUUAGAGAAAACAAUACAAACUGUUUAAGCUAUGAUUUUUAGCAGCGGAAAACAUACGCGACGAUUACAACACGUCGUCAAGACGGAUAUCAUGUUAAGCCCUGUCACGACAUCACUCGAGAUCAUCAGUAUUGGCCGGGGACGGAUCCCAUUCCACGGACCAAUCAUCUGGAAGAGCACAGGGCCAUGACAGGGAAAGAGUGGGGUCUUCAAAGGCUUUACCUGAAAAACAUAAAACUAGCAAGGCUGAGUAUACUAAUACUCAGCAAGGCUUACCCGGGAUUGGGUAUACUUUAGCCCAUAACUAGACUUAUGAAGGCUUAUAAUAGUUCUGGGUUUAGUUUCAGCUGAAAAGCAACUAAGAAUAUAACCUAUUUUCAAGUUUUAGCUUUCAGAUUCUAGUUCGAUUAGCCAUUCUAGGUAAGCACCUAUACUAAACAAGCAAUGUAGAUAUUAUCAUCCAUCAAGAUUAUUUCUUCAACAAUUACACUUUUUACUCGAUGUGGUAAAGGGAUAAGCAGUCUCAUACAUCGUGAGAGGCGGACGAUUCCUGAAUCGAGAUUCAACCUUGCAAGGUAAACCUAACACACACGCUUGGAAUACGAACAGGACGUUCCGAAGCAACUGUUUGCCUUUCAUUCCGGGUUGUGGACAGGGCCACCACUAGCGACUGCAGGACCAUAUGCACACCCUAUAUGUGCAGGACGUAUGUCUGUAGCGCGACUACAAAACCCGUACUCCUGGUUGCCCUUGCAACACGUAUUCCCACACAUCGAACAUAAGUACCCAGAAGAAGCAAGACGAGUGGUGGUCAGUAUGUCCACUUGCCGGGCCGAUUGGCUACUAGGCUUACCGCUUACCAUAUUUCGCGGCAUGUGGCUAGUACUUUCAAACGCUUAGCCACCACUACCACAUGGAUCGGCCUUAUCAACUUUUAACGAAACAGACAGGGUAAAUUUCUAGGUCAUGAUACAACACAUGACCCUGUCCGUCAUCCUUAUAGUGGUUGCAGGAAUGUAAACAUGCAACUCCUAUAUCGCGCGAGUGACAGGAAAUCACUCGACUUCUACCGGUCCUAUUAGCGGAGCAACUAUCCGAUAAGGACUCGGGAGCAUUACAUUGGAUUCCUAGGAUUCAUGCAUCUAGGGUUUCACUUCAAUUCCUAGACUUAAUGCAAGAUAUAAUAUAGAUAGACAUAGAUUGCAGUGUAAAUAAAGUAGUGGGAUAUGUCCGGGGCUUGCCUUAACUGGUGAGGCUGGGUUAGUCAAGUUAAUAACGUCCGAACUUUGGUUCGGGCCUUCAGAGAAUUCCCUGACGAAGUUCUCGGGAUCUUCAGAAUAACCUCCUUCUGGUUCCGGGAUUAGCUGUUAAUUUCCGUCGGUGGGAGAGAUCGAGUCUACAUGAUAUGCAAGAUGGAGUUCAAUGGAUGCAUACACUUUCAUUUCAAUUCACGAUAAAGUUGCAAUUCAAAUAAAAGAACAUUACAUUUCGACAAACAACCUAACUACCCUGUACUGGGCAGUCAUUUAUCGGGUAUCAACCAAAGUAACUAGUUACGUUAAGCAACAAGGUGGGUUACCCUAAACAUUUAUUCUAACUUCAUUGGGUAGCAUGUUCGGUUAUCUAAUUGGUUGGUGUAAAGGUCUUGGCUUUAACUGAUGAGGAUGCAUCAGGUUUAGCCGAUGGAUGUGCUUUGGUCAUGUCUAACAGAGGCGUGUCUUAACUGAGAUGUGCUUAAGUAUUAUCCUAAGUAACUAGGUGUGGUUGCAUCGGCUGGAUUACGUCAACACAACAAUUGAGUGCCGUACAGCCGAUAGGGUUAGCUAAGUUAGACCUAUUUCAAGAAUUAGGUGUAACAGAACACUAAUAUUAUACUAGGUUGGUGAGACCACAAGUGCGAAACUAGUCUAACGAGAAUGUGGCCGAUAGGUGUAUAGUUGAUGGGUUGUACGUGACUGACUUCUUAGCCGACAAAUCGGCAGAUAGAAGUGUGCCGGUAAAGAUUGGAAAACUAAGAAUUGAUCGGACACAAUUGACCUAUAUGGAAAACAACUAAAAUCAGCUUGGAUUAGCCGAAAGCAAGAAUCUUAAGAUCUAGUGUGAAAACUCAGAUAAAUCGGCUGUUUAACAAAGGUUCACACAUAGCCGAUUCACAUUUUAAUCCGACAGAGUACCUAGCCGAUAGGUAUGUAGUCGAUAAGUGUAUCCUAAAGGUAUGUGAUCGAUAAAGGCCGGGGUGUGCUGAUUUUACAGAAAAGGUCCUAGCAAGAUUAAAAUCUACAUACAAACAUUUCAUCAACUACAACACAAAGGCACUUAAAUUCCAUAGCUAAAGAGCAGGAAAAGACUUGAAAAUUUUUACACAAGACUAAACAAGAAGGACACAAGCUAUAUUUCAAAGAUUAGCUGCAAUCCAAUAGGUUAACACUUAAGAACUUAUGGUAUAAAAAGGAAUCUAAGCCUUAAAUCAUAAAUAUUAACUCAUGACUAAAGCAUUAAUUUAAUUGAAAACAGAAAUUAAGUAUUUCAAGUUUAAAUUAAAUUCAAAUUUGAAUGUGAACCCUAAGUAAUUAGAGUUAUAAAGUUUCAAAAACUUAAACACAGCUUAUUGUGUAUUUAAAAGAUUUUGAUUAAAAGAUCUAAUUAGAUAAGCUUCACUGAAAAGAUUUAGUUAAUUGUAUUAUAAACAAAUUGAAUUAAUCCAAGAUAAAUAUUAAAACAUAAAUUAGAGUUAAAUUCAGAUUUAGAUUUGAAUUUAAACUUUUUGAGUAAAGAAUGUUAUAAGAUUUUGAAUAUUUAAAAAUAGAUUACUUCAUAAUUCAUGAUUAAGAGAUCUAAUUGAUUAAAGUUUAAAAGGUAUGCUUAGCAAAUUUUUGCUCAAAAUAAUUUGAAAUGGUUAUCUUAAAAGAAAUUAAAUUAUAUCAUGAAUUUAGAUUUGAAGAUUUUAUAUCACUUUAUAUGUCAUCUAUAGAAAUUUGUAUAUCAAAAAUCAUGAUCACAAAGUUAACCUAUAGGGUUAAAAUUGGAAUUACGGAUUGGAUAUUACAUUUCCAUGUCUUAGAUUCAACAUUGAUGCAAAACUAUUUGGUUUCAAAUCAAACUCACUUAAUAGAAGUUAUAGAGUUCAAAACCUAGUUUCAAACAAAACUGGUUUUGUAAUUUUUGGAAUUUCCUACAAUUCUCUAUUGAAUUUACAAGUCAAAAAUAUCACUCACAUGAAAUAACAAACAUCCAUUCACUUCCAUUCUAAAUACAGUACAAACUGUCCAUUUUCACAGCAUGGUCCUAAAACAAAAGUGAUAGAAUUUGAAAUGAAGAUUCACAUGUAACUGGUUUUAUAUUUUUUUGAAUUUUCUACGAUUUCCUAGGGAUUUUCAAAGUUCAGCACAUUGGAAAGGUUGAAAACUUUCAUUUGGACCCUUGGAAAGAUUUGGGGCUUUACAAUUGGGUCCUCCUGCCAUGGAUGGCCGGAGCAAGCUCGGGUUCAUCCCGAUUCCGGCGAUGGAGUGGAGAAUCCGCAAGGGGAAGGGGGUGGGAAGGAUGAGGGUAUUCGGGCGCACCGAUUGGCACACUUGGGAGGAGAAGAGACGGCCGGGGAAAGCCUGCCGGCGUUGAGGCAGUAGGGCGGCGGCGGGCGGCACUGGGGGCAGCACUCCGGCGAGGGGAACGGCGCAAAGGGGGUGGGGAUUAGCUUCAAGAGGGCUUGGGGGUGCUAUUUAUAGAGAAAGGAAGGGAGGAGAGGGACGCACGGCCGGGCGCCACGGCGGCGGCACGGUGGCGCGGCUCUGGCAGCUCGGGCAGGCGGUGGUGGGUGCGUGGCGGCACGGGAAUGGGCGGGGGAAGUAGGGGAUAAGGCCGGGGAAGAGAUAAGCGGUGCCCAGGAGUGGAGAGGGGGGGCAGGGGGGCUGCUCUGACGGCCGGAAUUAAAGAAGGACGGCGGCGGCGUGCUGAAACAGAGAAACAGAGGAAGCAGCCAGAGGUAGAAGAUGAGUGGGAGAGCGCCAAGGACCUGUUUGUAAUUUGCAAAAACUUCAAGGGCCCGGAAGUAAAACUAAAUUUCCCACUGAUACAGGGCUCUAAUGGAGAAAUGACCAAAAUGAAAGUUGUACAACUUUUCAAGCUCUACAACUUUGCUUUAGGGUUUGAACUCCAAAACUCAUGGUAUGCAACCUUAUUUUGGAAACUUUGAACUAACUUUAAAUUUUAUAAAGACUUGUCCUUGUUACAUAUUUUACACACAACUUGGGCCUAGGUACAAGUUUUCAGAACUGUCAUGAUUACUUGCAUUCUUAUAAUUUGGCCCCUAGUAACUUUUGAAAAUUACUUGUGUAAAUCAAAUAUUUGCGUAUAAGGACUUAUACUUUUAUAAAAUUACAUAAAUACCCUUGUUUUUACCACUUUACCCAAAAUUUUUACACACUUCAACAUACACAUUUCCAAUGAAACUUUUGGAUAAAUAAAUAUAUUUUUACAAGGGUUAAAACAAGGAAAACAUGUUUACAAAACCACUUUCACUUAUUUUGAAAUUACCCUAAUCCAAAUACAUUUUGCAAAAACAACCCUAUGUUUUUCUGUAAUUACAAAAAUACCCUUUUUACUUGUAUUUUAAAUUUUCAACAGUUUCACACAAACACACAAAAGUUUUAUACUAACAAGCGUACACUUCACACUAUCAAAUUAUAAGCCUAGCUUACAGAUACAUGAACUGUCACAGCCUUCCCCCCUAAAAAGAAUCUCGUCCCGAGAUUCGGACGUAAGGCUCUGAAGGGAAGAGAAGCAAAUCACCCAUUAAAAAUGGCAAGAAGCAAUCGCACUAGAGAAGAUUGAAGUUGAUGACGAGAGCAUGGCGAGAUGAGUAUAACGAGAGUAUGAAGAGAUUGUACAUAGGUGAGUUUGACAAGAUAAGAGAUUGUACAUGAGGACGAAACUCAUGGAUAACAAAUAAGGAUGGUAUAAGGGUUUGACAAAAUGAUGUUUGAAGUAUUUUUGCUCAGAGUUUAUUACUUAAAUAAUUUAGAGGAUGUUGAUUGUAAAACAUGCCUAUUUAUACUGAUGCAAUCAAGGGAUAAUGAUAAAAUGCUCCAAUUCAAAGUGUAAUGCUGGAUAUAUAUACCCAUGAAUGUGAUGCACUGUUUGGGAUGAGGAUGCAAUACGAGGAUGAAGGAUUCCAUGCACGAUUAAGAUGGUGCAUAUGACACAAUGCAAUUGCCAUGAUGCUGACCAAAUGAUGCAUAUCCCAUGAUGCAAGGAUGAUGAUACUCGCAAUGUAUGCACGUAUGAAAUGCAUGAAAUAUGAUGCAUAUUGUUAUCAUAAGUUGAUGAUGCACACGACUCGCACCCUGCAACCGUUUUCUCGUAACUAACACCUGGGUAGUUCUACAUCCUUAAGCGAGGAUCAAAAGUUAGGACACUAGUAAGGUUGCAUAAAAGGGGAUUGCAGUGGGGUUACGUCACAUAGACCUAGUCACCAGUGCGCUCCUAAUGGCUCAGUUAUGUGGCUGCAGCACACCUGAGGCCUUAGGUUCCGACACGGUAUCAUGGUCAUGUGAUUAAACACCACCACAAAAGAGGAAUAACAACCUUGUAGUGCCAAUAGCAACAAGAUAGACUUAGGAACUCGAGGAUAACUCGAAGGUUGUACUGGACACCCACCCGUUAGUCAGUCUACGGAUUUCCGAUGAUGAUGCAACACCAUGCAUUGACCAAAGAUGGUAUGUGUUAUGAUGUAUGACUUUUGCUGGGAGAAUUGUAUUCAAAAAGUAACUAUUGUCAUACAUCUUUUUAAUUUUUUCCAAAAUCAUCUGAGCAAAAAUUGAAGGUACAACUUUCAGAUGUUGUAGCCAAAAUAGCCAACAAUAUAAGGUACAACAUUAAAAGAGAAAAGGUGAAUCACUGAACGAUGGAUUCAAGGGUUUGAUGAUAGUCAUCAAGGUUUAACCAUCAAAAGAAAAGCUCAAAAAGAAAAGCUCAAUGGUUCUGCCGAAACAGAUUCAAAGCAAGAUUAGGGGUUUGAUUUGGCUGUCAAGCUAAGAUUGGUGAUAGAGCUCAAACAUAAUCCAAUCCAAUUGAUUCACAAAAGACUAUCUUAACUCUAAAUUAACCUAGCAUAUUACGUUAACUUUUACAACACAAAGUCUAGGCAGGCAUUCAGAUACAAGCACAUGUUUCAGUACAUCAACAUAACAACAAGGCAAUCAGGUCAAUCCAAGAUGUCAUGAUGCAUGCACGUUCUACACGUUCUCACAAACAAAAAUAACUGCCAAGUAAUCUUGGUCUUACGUGGUUAGUUACGGUGGCAUCAUAUAAAUACGUCUCUCCCUAUAUAUAUAUACUAGUCGUUCUUACGUUCAAGCUUACGCAACGAGGUUAGCAUACCUGCAGAAAAUCACAAUAUAUAUAUAUCUGUUGAACCUUUCAUUCCAGCAUGUCAUGAAAGCGUCCCCAAACAUUACUGUUCACUAUAGAAACAGCAUCUGUACAAUUACCGCUGUACAGACAACGUUAACAUACGUCGUCGAGACAACAUAUUCACGGGGGGUACCGCAAAAUGCGGGGGUAUGAACAGCGAUCGCCAUACCCUGCGCCGAACCUUAUACUCCCAAUGUAGUCAACCGAGGUUCGUACAUUGGCAGCAUCUCAAGUAGGCCACUGCUUGAGAAACAGCGUUCGGUUCGCAUCACCGAUGGGAAGGCCAAGCUCCCUCAGUUGGCUGAGGAUCCUUACCUUCUUACCUCACGAUCGAAGAUGUCGUUACAGAAUGUAAAGUUGGGUUGUGCAUGAAUUUAAGUUUUGACAGAAAAGUAAUGCUGGUAGUUAGGAUUAUAUACAUAUAUAUAGCCACCUCUAUUUCCCUUAU